rnacentral:SRP_RNA from 2 species
GCUGGGUGUGGUGGUGCACACCUGUAAUCCCAGCUACUCAGGAGACUGAGGUGGGAUAAUUGCUUGAACCCAGGAGUUGGAGGUUGCAGUGAGCCGAGAUCAUGCCACUGUACUCCAGCCUGGGUGACAGAGUGAAGCCCCAUCUCAA